CCUACGGGAGGCAGCAGUGGGGAAUUUUGGACAAUGGGCGCAAGCCUGAUCCAGCAAUGCCGCGUGCAGGAUGAAGGCCUUCGGGUUGUAAACUGCUUUUGUACGGAACGAAACGGUCUGCCCUAAUACGGUGGGCUAAUGACGGUACCGUAAGAAUAAGCACCGGCUAACUACGUGCCAGCAGCCGCGGUAAUACGUAGGGUGCGAGCGUUAAUCGGAAUUACUGGGCGUAAAGCGUGCGCAGGCGGUUAUGUAAGACAGAUGUGAAAUCCCCGGGCUCAACCUGGGACCUGCAUUUGUGACUGCAUAGCUAGAGUACGGUAGAGGGGGAUGGAAUUCCGCGUGUAGCAGUGAAAUGCGUAGAUAUGCGAGGAACACCGA
rnacentral:rRNA from 1 species